rnacentral:rRNA from 1 species
GACGAACGCUGGCGGCGUGCUUAACACAUGCAAGUCGAACGGAAAGGCCCCUUUGGGGGUACUCGAGCGGUGGACGGGUGCGUAACACGUGCGUAACCUGCCCUUGCCUUCGGGAUAACUUCAGGAAACUGGGGCUAAUACCGGAAAGGAAUCCUUGCUGCAUGGUGGGGGUUGGAAAGCUUCGGGCGUUUUGGAUGGACUUGCGGGUUAUCUGCUUGUUGGGGGGGUAAUGGGUUACCAAGGCUUUGUCGGGUGGCCGGCCUGUGGGGGCGACCGGCCACACUGGGACUGAGAGACGGCCCAGACUCCUACGGGAGGCAGCAGUGGGGAAGAUUGCACGAGGGGCGGAAGGCUGAUGCAGCAACGCCGCGGGCGGGAUGACGGCCUUCGGGUUGUAAACCGCAUUCAGCAGGGGCGAAGCUUGUGGUGACGGUACCUGCAGAAGAAGCACCGGCUAACUACGUG